CCUACGGGAGGCAGCAGUGAGGAAUAUUGGUCAAUGGGCGGGAGCCUGAACCAGCCAAGUCGCGUGAGGGAAGACGGUCCUAUGGAUUGUAACCCUCUUUAUGCGGGGCGCAAUGCCGGUCACGCGUGCCCGGAGGGAGAGUACCCGCAGAAUAAGCAUCGGCUAACUCCGUGCCAGCAGCCGCGGUAAUACGGAGGAUGCGAGCGUUAUCCGGAUUGAUUGGGUUUAAAGGGUGCGUAGGCGGAUUUUUAAGUCAGCGGUAAAAUGUCCGGGCUCAACCCGGGCCGGCCGUUGAAACUGGGGAUCUUGAGUGGGCGAGAAGUAUGCGGAAUGCGUGGUGUAGCAGUGAAAUGCGUAGAUAUCACGCAGAACUCCGAUUGCGGAGGCAGCAUACCGGCGCCCGACUGACGCUGAGGCACGAAAGCGUGGGGAUCGAACAGGAUUAGAUACCCGAGUAGUC
rnacentral:rRNA from 1 species